AACGCACCCUCUGCCAGGGCUCCAGUUGGGAGCUCCUUGCCAUUGCUCUAAACACAUCCUAGGGGUUUCUGCCUCCCCCUCAGCACGCCUGUAACCCUAAGGUAGCCGAGCGGUGGGGGUUCGAGGCUCCCUCCCUCCUUUUGCCCUUCACGAGAGCGCUUUUCUGGGCGCACAAGUGUGUGUGUGAGGAGCGGAGAGGAGCACCGAGAGGGUAAGUGAAUCCCUUACUUCAGUCGGGGUGGGCAGGAGGAGACCUCUCACGUCACCCGAGGAUCAGAGGGCUCCUCCGUCGCGCCGAAGGUGGGAUCCCGAGCGGCCUCUUCAGCCUGCAGCGAGCUGGGGGAGCCUCUCGGGGAUGCGACCGCCUUGGAAAAGCCCCCUCCAUGGCUAGGCACCCUGCCACCUCCGCGCGUUGUGUACUUCUGAGAUUGGGACAAUAG
rnacentral:lncRNA from 1 species